rnacentral:rRNA from 1 species
CAGUCGAACGAACUCUGGUAUUGAUUGGUGCUUGCAUCAUGAUUUACAUUUGAGUGAGUGGCGAACUGGUGAGUAACACGUGGGAAACCUGCCCAGAAGCGGGGGAUAACACCUGGAAACAGAUGCUAAUACCGCAUAACAACUUGGACCGCAUGGUCCGAGUUUGAAAGAUGGCUUCGGCUAUCACUUUUGGAUGGUCCCGCGGCGUAUUAGCUAGAUGGUGGGGUAACGGCUCACCAUGGCAAUGAUACGUAGCCGACCUGAGAGGGUAAUCGGCCACAUUGGGACUGAGACACGGCCCAAACUCCUACGGGAGGCAGCAGUAGGGAAUCUUCCACAAUGGACGAAAGUCUGAUGGAGCAACGCCGCGUGAGUGAAGAAGGGUUUCGGCUCGUAAAACUCUGUUGUUAAAGAAGAACAUAUCUGAGAGUAACUGUUCAGGUAUUGACGGUAUUUAACCAGAAAGCCACGGCUAACUACGUGCCAGCAGCCGCGGUAAUACGUAGGUGGCAAGCGUUGUCCGGAUUUAUUGGGCGUAAAGCGAGCGCAGGCGGUUUUUUAAGUCUGAUGUGAAAGCCUUCGGCUCAACCGAAGAAGUGCAUCGGAAACUGGGAAACUUGAGUGCAGAAGAGGACAGUGGAACUCCAUGUGUAGCGGUGAAAUGCGUAGAUAUAUGGAAGAACACCAGUGGCGAAGGCGGCU